CCUACGGGAGGCAGCAGUGAGGAAUAUUGGUCAAUGGGCGGAAGCCUGAACCAGCCAAGUCGCGUGAGGGAAUAAGGCCCUACGGGUCGUAAACCUCUUUUGCCGGGGAGCAAGGUCGGGGACGUGUCCCGUCCCGGAGAGUACCCGGAGAAAAAGCAUCGGCUACAUCCGUGCCAGCAGCCGCGGUAAUACGGAGGAUGCGAGGGUUAUCCGGUUUUAUUGGGUUAAAGGGGUGCGUAGGCGGGCUUUUGAGUCAGCGGUAAAAAUUCGGGGCUCAACCCCGUCCGGCCGUUGAAACUGGGGGCCUUGAGUGGGCGAGAAGAAGGCGGAAUGCGUGGUGUAGCGGUGAAAUGCAUAGAUAUCACGCAGAACCCCGAUUGCGAAGGCAGCCUGCCGGCGCCCUACUGACGCUGAGGCACGAAAGUGCGGGGAUCGAACAGGAUUAGAUACCCGUGUAGUC
rnacentral:rRNA from 1 species